GACUCUUCAAUUUUUAUUUUUUCGUCUGCGAACUAGAAAUCCGGAUAAGGAAUUCUAUUGACCGAGGGGAAGGUGUUAGGCACCCCUCGAGUCCCGUGGUUCUAGCACGGUCGCUUUAAUGACUUAUGUCUGGCUUAAAUUAAUCUUUUGGAUACAUAAUAUUUGUCGGCCUAAAAGCUACUUACAUCCUACUUUGAAUUUAUUUUAAAUUAUUUAAAACUGCAUUGAUGUG
rnacentral:lncRNA from 1 species